rnacentral:rRNA from 1 species
GGAUUAGAUACCCUGGUAGUCCACGCCGUAAACGAUGUCUACUAGCCGUUGGGAGACUUGAUCUUUUAGUGGCGCAGCUAACGCACUAAGUAGACCGCCUGGGGAGUACGGUCGCAAGAUUAAAACUCAAAUGAAUUGACGGGGGCCCGCACAAGCGGUGGAGCAUGUGGUUUAAUUCGAUGCAACGCGAAGAACCUUACCAGGUCUUGACAUCCAGAGAAGUUACCAGAGAUGGUUUCGUGCCUUCGGGAGCUCUGUGACAGGUGCUGCAUGGCUGUCGUCAGCUCGUGCUG